rnacentral:rRNA from 1 species
CACGUAGGGGGCAAGCGUUGUCCGGAUUCAUUGGGCGUAAAGAGCUCGUAGGCGGUUCGAUAAGUCGGGUGUGAAACCUCCAGGCUCAACCUGGAGACGCCACCCGAUACUGUCGUGACUAGAGUCCAGUAGGGGAGCGUGGAAUUCCUGGUGUAGCGGUGAAAUGCGCAGAUAUCGUAAGGAAGACCAGUGGCGAAGGCGGGUCUCUGGACAGUUCCUGACGCUGAGGCACGAAGGCCAGGGGAGCAAACGGG